rnacentral:lncRNA from 1 species
UAAUAAUGAACUAGAAAUCUAUUCGAAUACACUUGAAGCUAAAGAAGUAAACUGAAAGUCCAAACUUACGAUUACAAACAACUACAUAACAUUCAAUGUAAUUAUACCAAGUUCAGUUAAAACUGUAAACAAACUAAUUGAUAAACAUCAAGCCAUAACAAGACUACUAAGACCAGACUUUAAAGUGAGGCUAGAAUUUAGACAUUGGAACACCAUCUUUCAUUCAACAUUCACAUUUCCACUCCAAGGAUUCGAAAAUGUAUCUGGAUACAACCAAAAACAGCUACAGAAUUUCAAAAGAGGAGGGUGAGAUCAGCAGUAACUUAGCAGCAGAAACAUCAAUCUCAGUCCAUAUUUGGAAUCCAAAACCAGCAAAGUAUUAGAUCAUCUUUCAAAUCCCAGAAAAUCAGCCAAUGUAACAGUACUUUCUCUCUUUUUUUCCUGUGUUUUCUUGUUAAUUUCCUAACUCUAGCAAUGUAUAUUCCCCAGUCGUUUAUGAAUUUUUAGGUUUCUGAUCUCUGCCUUGAAAAUCAAGGAAAGGGGACCUUUAUAGAGGGGUUUUAGGGCAUCAGUAGUGAAUUUUCAAACUUACCAUUUACCCCAUGCCCCAAAUUUUAUCUAUCCAAUUCAGACCCCAAUUUAAAACUUGUUUGUAAAUCUACCCCCUUCCCCACCUUUCUGGAAGUUUCCCAGGCGGUUUUAAAAGAUUCCCCUUAUUAAACUCCCCCAAAUACCCUUAAGACUUACUAAUUACCUUCACACUAGACCUUGAACCAAACUGCCCAAGUACCUUUGGGCCUCUGCAACACCGAGCUUUAAACAGCUCUUUGGGCUUCUUGCAUUUAGCAAGCCCAAGUUAAGGUUUAGGCCAAUGAAUUCCCAAGCAAACUAAAAAACCCAAAAUAACUCCAUUUCUGAAUUUUAGACAUGAAAUCUUUACAUGAAGCAGAAAUAAUAAAAGGAAAAAGUAAAACUAGCAAAUACUAAUCAGAGAAAUUAAUCUAAACAUUAUAAACUAAAAUGACUCAAUCCCAAUCAUGCAAACAAAACUAUUUAAAGCAGAAAAACAAGAAAGAAAAAGAGAGGAAUCUGAAAUAUAUGAAGAUGAGAAUAAAACAAAAGACAGAAAGAAAGAAAAAUGGACGGAAAUACCUAGAAUAGGCAAAUGAACAGGGCUUGACAAACCUCAGGCAAACUUCGAUUUGAACCGAAAUUGGCAUCAAUCGCGUGUUCUCGUCGAGAACAGACGAACAAUACCAAUUUCAGCCCUAAUCGUUCUUGGAAACUCGAAUACUUGAGAGAUUUUUCUUUUUCUUUUUCUUCUUCUUCUUUUUAAGAUCCAAAACUGGCCGGAUUUGGUGGGGAUUUUGGGAGAUGUGGUGGUGGAUUGGGAAUCAGGGGUGGGUGAUGGUUGUGUGGUAGGGUUUUAGGGUCGAUUGGGCUCCGCCGCCGGCCGGUGGAAGCUUAGGAGUUUCAGGGCAGCGGGCUAGGGUUCUUGACUUUGAGAGAG